UGGGGAAUUUUGGACAAUGGGCGAAAGCCUGAUCCAGCAAUGCCGCGUGUGUGAAGAAGGCCUUCGGGUUGUAAAGCACUUUUGUCCGGAAAGAAAUCCUUGGCUCUAAUACAGUCGGGGGAUGACGGUACCGGAAGAAUAAGCACCGGCUAACUACGUGCCAGCAGCCGCGGUAAUACGUAGGGUGCAAGCGUUAAUCGGAAUUACUGGGCGUAAAGCGUGCGCAGGCGGUUUGCUAAGACCGAUGUGAAAUCCCCGGGCUCAACCUGGGAACUGCAUUGGUGACUGGCAGGCUAGAGUAUGGCAGAGGGGGGUAGAAUUCCACGUGUAGCAGUGAAAUGCGUAGAGAUGUGGAGGAAUACCGAUGGCGAAGGCAGCCCCCUGGGCCAAUACUGACGCUCAUGCACGAAAGCGUGGGGGAGCAAACAGGAUUAGAUACCCUGGUAGUCCACGCCCUAAACGAUGUCAACUAGUUGUUGGGGAUUCAUUUCCUUAGUACGUAGCUAACGCGUGAAGUUGACCGCCUGGGGAGUACGGUCGCAAGAUU
rnacentral:rRNA from 1 species